CGAAGCAACGCGAAGAACCUUACCAGGCCUUGACAUGCAGAGAACUUCCAGACGAUGGAUUGGUGCCGUUCGGGAACUCUGACACAGGUGCUGCAGUGGCUGUCGUCAGCUCGUGUCGUGAGAUGGUUAGGGUUAACGUCCCGUAACGAGCGCCAACCCUUGUCCUUAGUUACCAGCACGUUAUGGUGGGCACUCUAAGGAGACUGCCGGUGACAAACCGGAGGAAGGUGGGGAUGACGUCAAGUCAUCAUGGCCCUUACGGCCUGGGCUACACACGUGCUACAAUGGUCGGUACAAAGGGUUGCCAAGCCGCGAGGUGGAGCUAAUCCCAUAAAACCGAUCGUAGUCCGGAUCGCAGUCUGCAACUCGACUGCGUGAAGUCGGAAUCGCUAGUAAUCGUGAAUCAGAAUGUCACGGUGAAUACGUUCCCGGGCCUU
rnacentral:rRNA from 1 species